rnacentral:rRNA from 1 species
GAUUAACGCUGGCGGCGUGCAUAACACAUGCAAGUCGAACGAUGAAACUUAAAUGAUUUCUUCGGAAUGAACUUAAGUGGAUUAGUGGCGGACGGGUGAGUAACGCGUGAGUAACCUGCCUUACACAGGGGGAUAGCCGUUGGAAACGACGAAUAAUACCCUAUGAAACUAUCACUUCGCAUGAAGCGAUAGUCAAAGUGUUAGCGGUGUAAGAUGGACUUGCGUCUGAUUAGCUAGUUGGUGAGAAAAAAGCCCACCAAGGCAACGAUCAGUAGCCGGCUUGAGAGAGUGUACGGCCACAUUGGGACUGAGACACGGCCCAGACUCCUACGGGAGGCAGCAGUGGGGAAUUUUGCACAAUGGGGGAAACCCUGAUGCAGCGACGCCGCGUGAUUUAGAAGGCCUUCGGGUUGUAAAAAUCUUUUGUAUAGGAAGAAAAUGACAGUACUAUACGAAUAAGGGCCGGCUAAUUACGUG